UGGGGAAUAUUGGACAAUGGGCGCAAGCCUGAUCCAGCCAUGCCGCGUGGGUGAAGAAGGCCUUAGGGUUGUAAACCCCUUUCAGCGGGGAAGCGGUACCCGCAGAAGAAGUCCCGGCUAACUCCGUGCCAGCAGCCGCGGUAAUACGGAGGGGACUAGCGUUGUUCGGAAUUACUGGGCGUAAAGCGCACGUAGGCGGAUUUGUAAGUCAGGGGUGAAAUCCCGGGGCUCAACCUCGGAACUGCCUUUGAUACUGCAAAUCUCGAGUCCGGAAGAGGUGAGUGGAAUUCCUAGUGUAGAGGUGAAAUUCGUAGAUAUUAGGAAGAACACCAGUGGCGAAGGCGGCUCACUGGUCCGGUACUGACGCUGAGGUGCGAAAGCGUGGGGAGCAAACAGGAUUAGAUACCCGUGUAGU
rnacentral:rRNA from 1 species